CCUGUCGUCUAGUGGAAGACACUGGCCGGGACACAGAGCCCACGUGUGGACACCGCUGUGGGUUGGUGGCAGGGGUCGAGCAGGUGCCAUCAGGCACAUGAACGGUGGAGUCUUCAAAGCAGAGAUGGGGUUUCACCCUGUUGGCUAGGAUGGUCUCGAUCUCCUGACCUCGUGAUCCACCCGCCUUGGCCUCCCAAAGUGCUGGGAUUACAGGUGUGAGCCACCGCGCCUGGCCAAGCACGGAGUGCCUUCUGAGGUGUGAGCAGCUGCCGGAAGAGGAGGUGCUCCUGAAGACACUGCGGCCGGCCCGCCUGUGCCCUUGGUGCCCUGGCUGCCUAGAGAGCCUCACCCCUGGGCCCUGGGGCCAGGACUCCAGGACUCUGACUACCUGCCCUCCCCCAGCCUCAGCGGCUGCACCUCCUCAUUAGUACUGAUGCGCUGACCUCGGCACACAGCUGGGAGGGGUUGAGGGCUGGGUCAUGGCUGCUCCCAGGCCCCACCCAGGCUCCUGAGCCUAGAAGGUGAAAAGAGGACUCUCAGGGGCUCACAGGGGCUCUC
rnacentral:sRNA from 1 species